UCAGGAUGAACGCUGACGGCGUGCUUAACACAUGCAAGUCGAACGGAGUUAGAGAGCUUGCUCUUAAACUUAGUGGCGGACGGGUGAGUAACGCGUGGGUAACCUGCCUUUCACUGGGGGAUAACAGUUAGAAAUGACUGCUAAUACCGCAUAAGCGCACAGGAUCGCAUGAUCUAGUGUGAAAAACUCCGGUGGUGAAAGAUGGACCCGCGUCUGAUUAGCCAGUUGGCAGGGUAACGGCCUACCAAAGCGACGAUCAGUAGCCGGCCUGAGAGGGUGAACGGCCACAUUGGGACUGAGACACGGCCCAAACUCCUACGGGAGGCAGCAGUGGGGAAUAUUGCACAAUGGGGGAAACCCUGAUGCAAGCGACGCCGCGUGAGUGAAGAAGUAUUUCGGUAUGUAAAGCUCUAUCAGCAGGGAAGAAAAUGACGGUACCUGACUAAGAAGCCCCGGCUAACUACGUGCCAGCCGCUGC
rnacentral:rRNA from 1 species